rnacentral:rRNA from 1 species
AGAAAAGCGAGUAAGGGCACACGGUGGAUGCCUAGGCAUACAGAGGCGAAGAAGGACGUGUAAAGCUGCGAUAAGCUGCGGGGAGUUGCAUAAGAACUGUGAUCCGUGGAUUUCCGAAUGGGGCAACCCACCUUAAUUUAUUAGGGUACCACGCUUCGGCGUGGGGCAUACCCCCCGAACUGAAACAUCUAAGUAGGGGGAGGAAAAGAAAACAAAAGUGAUUUUCCGAGUAGCGGCGAGCGAAAGGGAAAGAGCCCAAACCAUAGCGAUAUGGGGUUGUAGGACCGCUGGAAAUGAAAGACGAGCGAACGGGAACGCGAUGGAAAGCGCGGACAGAGAAGGUGAAAUUCCUGUACCGGCAAGCGAGUCGAGUAAGGAGCGGAAUCCUGAGUACAACGGGACACGUGAAAUCCUGUUGGAAGCAGGCGGGACCAUCCGCCAAGGCUAAAUAAGUAAGAGUGAGCGAUAGAGAAGAGUACCGUGAGGGAAAGGUGAAAAGAACCGCGCAAGCGGA